CUGAGACGAGCGGAAGACCACUCUCUCUGGGACCUAAGGACUCCAAAAUGCUGCUGUAAUGCGGGCUGCCUUAAUCUCUGUGGUUGGAGGUGCAGAAAGAAAAAAGAAACAGAAAAGAGCAAGUUGAAGAGAACCUGAACUCACAAUCUGGGAGCCAGAGAGUAAACAUUGAACAAAAUGUGUCCUGCGGAUUUCUUAAAAAGUCAAAAUAACAAGAUGUUGCCAAAGCUUUAAGUAGCCCUACAAAGGCCAUGAGUAGAGAAAGGUGUUAGCCAAGGACUCACACGGCACCCAAGGCUAAAGCUCUCUAAGGAUAAAGGUAGAAAAUGGAGCACAGAAGGGUUGCCCUUUACCCACAGACACACACCAGGAA